rnacentral:rRNA from 1 species
GACGAAGGGGGCUAGCGUUGUUCGGAAUUACUGGGCGUAAAGGGCUCGUAGGCGGCCAACUAAGUCAGACGUGAAAUCCCUCGGCUUAACCGGGGAACUGCGUCUGAUACUGGAUGGCUUGAAUCCGGGAGAGGUCCACGGAAUUGCCGGUGUAGUGGUGAAAUGCGUAGAGAUCGGCAGGAACACCCAGGGGGAAACCAGUGGACUGGCACGGUGCUGACGCUCAGGUGCGAAAGCGUGGGGAGCGAACCGG